rnacentral:tRNA from 1 species
GCCAGUUUGGCUCAGUGGAUAGAGCGUUGGGCUGUGGACUGAAGGGUCCCUGAUUUGAUUCCAGGCAAGGGCA